AACCAUAUUCUAUAUAUAGUUAUUGGUUCUUAACUCAUUAUUAUCGUUGAUUAACUAGUACCAUACAUGUCUUUUUUGGCUUCGGUUCCAGUGAUGCCUUCGACUCAACAUGCCCCUUCUAACUCAAAGCGGCGCUAUGUAAAUUUUGCUCCUAGCAUUUGGCAUGAUACUUUCUUGAAAUAUGCUAAUUCCGAAUCUUUGCUUUAAACCCUUUCUCAUUCUCUCUGCAUUUCACUGACUCAUAAACAAAACAAGCACACUCACAUGCACGGAGAAGAAAUCUAAGAAAGAGAGGCAGCGUCGAUGGAAGAGGAAGACGCGCUAGAACUGGUAGGUUGCGCUGCUGCUGUCGCCGCGAUCUACCCAGCCGUCGUCGCCGUUAUGUGGGGCCGCCGCCAUCCCUGAGCUUGCCACCGUUGCCCUUGUUGCCGAGCAAAAGGGAAAAAAAAGCCACGCGGCAGAAGAGAGAAGGAGGGAAGCUCACCGCGUCACAGUCGUCGCUCCCACCAUGUCGCGCCGCCGCAGGUCCACCUUGGAGCCUCCGUCGAAGCAGAGCCGCGAAGAGAGACGAGUUCGCGUAGGGAAGAGAGAAAUGCGUCCGAGAGAGAGAACGAGCACGAGAGGAAGGAGACAGCCGUUCUCAUCACUGCUAGAGGUUCCACCGCCGUUGUUGGUGCCAACCGAAGUCACCGCCGCCUUUGCAAGCUUUUUCCCAGCUGUUUUGGUUCUGUUCCUGCUGCAACUCGCCAAUGUUCCUACUCAUUUCUGACAUUUGUUCAGCCUUUGCCAGAGCUCGCCGUCGCCGGAGAAACACUUCUAAAACUUCUCAGAUCCGCUGUACCAUUCUUGUUGCGCUCUGAUCGAUUUGAAUCCACCGCUUUUCUUGGUGUUGUGGUCAUUGUCGUUAUAACGGGGAGUUCAUGUUGUUGCUACUGUUGCAGUUCCAGUUGCUGCAGUUUCAAUUUCUGAGUUUCAAUACUAAGUUUUACCUUUUCAGGAACUAGAUGAAGAGGCAUUAAGAAGAGUUAUACUGCGUUUGGUUUAUAUGCUGUUGU